CUCAGUCCACUACUAGAAUUUGACAAGGGGGAAUACUGGCCAAAUAUUGCUCAAAUUCCCAUCAUAGACAUCGAUCGGGAAUGCCUGUAAUGAUUAAAAGAAUAGCUCUCCAACUGAUGUAAGCUAUUCUUUUCCCUCAGAAGCUUCUUAUUUCUGUUUACUUCACUUUGCUUUUUUGUUAAUUCUCUUCAUUUUUAAAUAUUUUGUGCUCAUCGCCAAACACAUAACCUCAAUAGAGAAUCUAAAUUUUUGAAAAGAUAAGGGAUAAUUAUGUUGUGCUCAUCAUCAAACACAUAGAUUUAUAUAGUUGUAUAUUUCUUGGAUGGGGCAGGUACUGGAUUCGUUUCUCAUUGCUUAUUGGUUUAUGCUCUUACCGUGUUUUAAUUCACGUCUCAAUUGCGAAAGAAAUCAUAUGUAGCUUGUGCCACCAUGUUUAAUAGAAAGUCUUUAGUUCUUGUAAGCAUCAACGGAAACUUUUCUUAACAGUAGAAUGUUUAAUACAUUGUAUUUGCACUAUCCUUCAAUGUUUGCAUAAAAAUCUUCUCUUGCAUAUACUUUUGCAAUUUUAAACUUCAUUUUGAACUGUGUUGUUGCUAACUUAAACAUGUUCUGUGCUUAAUCAGAUGUGGAUUUUGAAGGGCGAGUACGACAAGUCUGGUCCAUCCAUUGUCCACAGGAAGUGCUUCUAAGGUGCUGCUGCUAUUUUUACAUCUGUUCGCGAGUUCUUUUUUAUUGUUUUGUUCUUUCCGCUAAAGCUAUUAUGUCGUCCACAGUGAACUCAGAUCUACUGUUAUAGGCAAGUCUUUGAGAUGCGGCUAUCAAAGAAGGGCGAUUAAAAUCAUUGUACCGCUGAUACUAUUUCAUGUUUCCAGUGCAAGCCUCUUUUGUAAGUUGACAAAUUCGAUUUUGUAAAUAUGUUUGGGACUCAACUAGUGGUUAGAGUAAUGAUUUUGUAAGAUUUGUGUACAAAAAAUCAAAUUAGAAAGAUAACUCGCGAUGAUUGAAUAAGCUCGAAGAAGUGGAUUUGAAUUUCAAAUCGUGUCUUUCUUUUAUUUUAUGUGUGUGAGAAAUUUGAAGUGUUGUUUAGAUUUGUUGGAAUAGUCUAAAGAGAUUCUCUCUAUAAAAUUUGAAGUCAUUUGAUGGAGAUCGGAUUAGAUGAUUUUGAACAA
rnacentral:lncRNA from 1 species